UACGAAGGGGGCUAGCGUUGCUCGGAAUCACUGGGCGUAAAGCGCACGUAGGCGGAUUGUUAAGUCAGAGGUGAAAUCCUGGAGCUCAACUCCAGAACUGCCUUUGAUACUGAUAGUCUUGAGUAUGGGAGAGGUGAGUGGAACUGCGAGUGUAGAGGUGAAAUUCGUAGAUAUUCGCAAGAACACCAGUGGCGAAGGCGGCUCACUGGCCCAUAACUGACGCUGAGGCACGAAAGCGUGGGGAGCAAACAGG
rnacentral:rRNA from 1 species